UACGGAGGUGGCAAGCGUUGCUCGGAAUCACUGGGCGUAAAGCGCACGUAGGCGGUUUCUUAAGUCAGGGGUGAAAUCCUGGAGCUCAACUCCAGAACUGCCUUUGAUACUGAAGAUCUUGAGUUCGGGAGAGGUGAGUGGAACUGCGAGUGUAGAGGUGAAAUUCGUAGAUAUUCGCAAGAACACCAGUGGCGAAGGCGGCUCACUGGCCCGAUACUGACGCUGAGGCACGAAAGCGUGGGGAGCAAACAGG
rnacentral:rRNA from 1 species